GUAGCUGGCUGUAUCCGUCUCCCGUUAAAUCCAGCGUCCUAAGCGUUGGACCGCGGGUGAUACCAUACAGCUAGAGGGUGGGAUAGGUGGGCGGUAUUUCUGGGGUAGGGGCGAAAUCCUUUGAUCCCAGGAGGACCACCAGUGGCGAAGGCUGCCCACCAGAACACGCCUGACGGUCAGGGACGAAAGCUGGGGCAGCGAACCGGAUUAGAUACCCGGGUAGUCCCAGCUGUAAACGAUGCUAGCUAGGUGUUGGGUCGGCCACGCGCCGCCCCAGUGCCGCA
rnacentral:rRNA from 1 species